rnacentral:rRNA from 1 species
AGUAAUGUAUGGGGAUCUCGCCUGAGUGGGGGGGAAUAACUACGUGGAAACGGGUAGCUAAUACCGCAUAAUGUCUACGGACCAAAGCGGGGGACCUCCGGGCCUCGCGCCAUCAGAUGAACCCAUAUGGGAUUAGCUAGUAGGUGAGGUAACGGCUUACCUAGGCGACGAUCCCUAGCUGGUCUGAGAGGAUGAUCAGCCACACUGGGACUGAGACACGGCCCAG